AUAAAUAACUAAAGUCCAGGUCUGUAUCAUAAAUAAAGUCCAGGUCUGUAUCAUAUAAUAAAUAAAGUCCAGGUCUGUAUCAUAUAAUAAAUAAAGUCCAGGUCUGUAUCAUAAAUAAAUAAAGUCCAGGUCUGUAUCAUAAAUAAAUAAAGUCCAGGUCUGUAUCAUAAAUAAAUAAAGGCCAGGUCUGUAUCAUAUAAUAAAUAAAGUCCAGGUCUGUAUCACGUCAUAAAUAAAGGCCAGGUCUGUAUCAUAAAUAAAUAAAGGCCAGGUCUGUAUCAUA